AAUUGGGUGCGUAUGAACAAUGCAACGGAGGUUAUGUUAAUUCCUAGAGUCUUAUAUGUUCUUUUGUCUCCUGGUGAUUACUUUGAAUGGCUGUGUGAGGUAAUAGAGCUAAUACCUUUUGUUUCUUCAUCACUAUAAACCGUGUCUGAUUUCAAAACUGAGAGCCAUAAAAUAUAUGCAUUAAUCUCUCUUGAUAUUUUCCCAUACGACCAACAUUAAUCUAUGUUGAUGUGUUCUAUGCCAAUUCAUUGCCGAUGGAGUGCCAACAUUAAUCGUGUAUAAAAUUUAGUUCUAACUUGCAAAAAUGUUCUGAUUACUGUUUGUGUGUGUGUGGCUGCACAUCUGUGCCGCUCCAACUGCUCCGUUCUUACUUUGAACACCGAGUUGAGCAGUGGAUCACGCGGGAAAAAAAUCAAACCGCUUCAAAUAAAGAAAUACUCUUCUGAAACUAUGCUCCUCUUAGGACAGACACACCUCCUGUGCAUAUGGUUGCAGGUUGUAUCCAUGCCAAGAUAGCACCUUGUAUGCAUAAUAUGGACCAUAUUUUGAAUGUACGAAAAAUCAAUUUAUUUAGUUUUCUUGCUGUCAGAAUAAGAGCAUGAAACCAACUUCCAUCAAACACAUAUCUGCAGCAUUAUACUAUGUACAGGGUGCAGAUAUAUAUAUUUGUUGACCAAGCAAUUCCCUUCUUCUGAGUAAACGACCAAUAUAUGAUUACCAAUCACCCAAUUUCCUCCCUAUUUUUUUAUUGCAACAUAACAUAUUGUAUUCUCUGUUUUCGAAUCUUAGUGUAAUCUAAUGUGCGAACAGACAUGCCUUUAUUCACAAAAAAGCAGGCAGUGUAAGUGAAGAACACCUAAAACAGAUGGAAAAUGCAAUUACAGACACACCGUCGUUCUAUUUUUCUACAGGAACACAGGUUGCAAUUCCAGUUUCAUCGACGGACUCGCUCGCUGCUCUAGAAGGUGCUUUGGCUUGUUUCUCUGACCGAUUUAUUGGGACAUCUCACAUGGAUCUUCAUGCCUCAUAUACCUAUUUUUUAUUCUCUCGUCAAUUCCACAUGUCUGCUCGUCCAUUGCACGGUACUAGAUGGUCCCUGUUAAGUUAAUUCGAGGUACAUCCCAUCAGGACUAUUAUUUGAUUUGUUGGAUUAAUUUAUUUCAGAUAGCUUACUCCAGGUUGAAUCUCUUUGUCAUUGAAACUUCAUUGAGAAGACAGACAACAAUAAACUUUGCAAAUGCGACCCUAGCUGUUCCAAUAUAUUGCCAUAUUAUGGUUUUGUUUUAUUUUUUAUUGCUUCCUAUUGUUUGCUUUGUUUGAACUGCAUUUUAUAGCCAGGUUUUUUUGUUGCUUUUAUUUUGUUUAGGUGGGUUCUAAACCAUUAAAGCAGAAAACAUACUGUUUAUAAAAAGUAUACAUAGUAUUGUAGAUUUAUGUUCACCAAUUAUCCAGAACGUUGACCUGGAGUCCUCCUUUUACAUAUUUGGUCUUCUUGGAAUCAAGCAAAAAUUACUAAGAAGCACAUAACUGAUUACUUCUUCUGCUUAGCCUCAUUUUUGUCAUGCACAUAGGUGGGUAAGGUUUGAAUCUCUAUAAGACUCACAGUCAGGUACGACUGGAGGCAUAUUAUGUAAGUGCAUGUCUACUGUUAUGAGGUUUCAGUUUUCGACUCUAUGCAAUUCUCGGUGCAAGGGCCCCCGCUUCCUUGUUGUGACGUUGCAGCCUCACCGGCCCUUCUGCAGGCAAGAGUUAUGUCCAGAUGAGCUAACCCUUUACUAUCCAAACCUUCUGAAGGUCAUUAGCUCUGAUUCUUUGGAAAAAAGGUUGAGAGCUAUACACAACAACGCUAAAGAUGGAGCGGCCUGCCAUGUAUUAGGGCAUACACAUUUCUGUUGGGAUUAUGCGGUUGACAAUAUCAGGUAUGUACAAGCGCCUCUGGCAUACCCUCGAGAAAGAAAGCGAAGGAUAAAUGGAGGCCAAGGAUGGCUGCCGUUUUUUGUAUAUUGUGAUGGCUUCAACCCUGAAACAAGAAUAGAAGGGAGCCUGAGAACACUCAGCUUGCGCCAUGGUUAGACAAAUAUUUUCAAAGCAGUCUGACUAUUACAACAAGACAGAAGAGAGCCGGAGAACACUCAGCUUGCACUGUGGGUUGCCAAAUAUUUUUCAAUAUAGUAUGGACCCCCUGUGUUUGCUCGAGUGUAUUGUACACCAAAAUCAUGAGAGCUCCACACAUAAAUUUUGCCCAGACAUACUAUGUUCCUUCAAGUGUAAGCAUUUGAAAUUCUUGAUGCAUUUGAGACGGUGGAAACGAGAGAAGCUGGGAUCGUAGCACUGACCAUGACUGUGAUUGCUAGAGCUCUAAGAGAUAGACGGAGGUCUCAACUGGCUGGGAAGAUUUGACAAGAGAUGUGGAGAUGGGGCACGGGGAGGGGAGGACGAGUCGGCCUGGAGGCCCCGGUUGUGGCUUCAACUAGGCAGGCUUGGGACUCGCGGUGGCGGGCGGCCUCACGCUGGAGCUGGUCCUGGCGGGCGGCCUCGGCCUCGUCCACACGGACUUCUCCUGGUUGUUGAACCGGUUGAGGGUCAUCCAACUUCUUGUUUAUCAGGUUACUGUUUGAUAAAAUGCAAGAUAUUUCUGUUUGGAAGGGUUUCCUAACAUCCGGACAGGUCAUACUUUUGCAAGAUACAUGCGAGGAUUGCUGUGUCCAACCUGCACAAGAAUGCCAAGAAGUUCUCGGAGACGUAAGCCACGACGUAUGUUUCUACCAUGAUUUCCUUCAGUUGGAUUUCGUGGAUUUAGGUGUUGAAAAAUUAUGGGCUGUGGAUGGCUGCUUCUUUGUGGCUUCCAAAUUUAAAAUGUUUGUUUGAGAGUUAGUUUAGUUUCUGUUAUGGAUUCACAGCUUCUUACAUGUACCAUCCUCUUAGACGUUUAGAUUUCCAAAGAAACAAAAUGAAGAUAUCAUGGAAUGGUCUCAAUAGUAUAGCUUAAAGCUUUUCAUGCUUUAUAUUUUCUUUGAAAUUUGCUUGUGAAGAAUCAUGUAUCUAUGUUAGAUUUGGUGAGAAAAGACAUUUUCCAAGCAGAGGAUGCGUGAGUGUUGGCCA